ACGGACAUAUCAUUACGAGAAACGUCUCUCACUUUAAACCGUUACAAACGAACAAUAAAGUAGAUACAGAUGAUGAGGAUGAUGAUUCGGCAGGUUACAACAACGACAAUGAACAGAACAAGGCUAACCACACUGAUAGUGGAAAUAAUGAACCAAGUAUUCGCAAGUCGUCCAGAAACACCAAGGGACCAGAGCGAUAUGGACAACCACUAUUGUG